rnacentral:rRNA from 1 species
CUACCCUUGACACGGAGUCGUCGCGUGCAGAGAUGCCCGUUCUCGCAAGGGCGGCUCGCACAGGUGUUGCAUGGCUGUGGUCACCUCGUGUCGUGAGAUGUUGGGUUAAGUCUCGCACCGAGCGCACCCCUCUCCUCUAGUGUCCAUCAGGUUUGGCUGGGCACUCUAAAGGAACUGCCGGUGACAAGCCGGAGGAAGGUGGGGAUGACGUCAAGUCCUCAUGGCCCUUAUGUCGUGGGCUACACACGUGCUACAAUGGCGGUGACAGUGGGAAGCUAGGUCGCGAGGCCAUGCUGAUCUCUAAAAGCCGUCUCAGUUCGGAUUGCACUCUGCAACUCGAGUGCAUGAAGUUGGAAUCGCUAGUAAUCGCGGAUCAGCAUGCCGCGGUGAAUACGUUCCC